GCGUAACGCGUAUGGAACCUGCCCUUAUCUGGGGGAUAACUCGGGGAAACUCGAGCUAAUACCGCAUAAGAUAGUAGAAUGGCAUCAUUCAGCUAUUAAAGAUUUAUUGGAUAAGGAUGGCCAUGCGUAAGAUUAGAUAGUUGGCGAGGUAACGGCUCACCAAGUCUACGAUCUUUAGGGGCUCUGAGAGGAGAAUCCCCCACACUGGCACUGAGAUACGGGCCAGACUCCUACGGGAGGCAGCAGUAGGGAAUAUUGGGCAAUGGGCGGAAGCCUGACCCAGCCACGCCGCGUGCAGGAAGACGGCCCUCUGGUUGUAAACUGCUUUUAACUGGGAAGAAAAGAGGCCUUGCGAGGCAAGUUGACGGUACCAGUUGAAUAAGCCACGGCUAACUACGUGCCAGCAGCCGCGGUAAUACGUAGGUGGCGAGCGUUAUCCGGAUUUAUUGGGUUUAAAGGGAGCGUAGGCGGCUGAUUAAGUCAGCGGUGAAAGGUAGCAGCUUAACUGUUUUACAUGCCGUUGAUACUGGUUAGCUUGAGUUGACAGAAGGCAGAUAGAAUUCCUGAUGUAGCGGUGAAAUGCUUAGAUAUCAGGAGGAAUACCGAUUGCGAAGGCAGUCUGCUGCAGUCACACUGACGCUGAGGCUCGAAGGUGCGGGGAUCAAACAGGAUUAGAUACCCUGGUAGUCCGCACAGUAAACGAUGAUUACUAGAUGUUGGCCAAGCCAGUGUCCAAGGGAAACCGAUAAGUAAUCCACCUGGGGAGUACGCCGGCAACGGUGAAACUCAAAGGAAUUGACGGGGGUCCGCACAACGGUGGGAGCAUGUGGGUUUAAUUCGAUGAUACGCGAGGAACCUUA
rnacentral:rRNA from 1 species